CGCCCCGCAAGGGGAGCGGCAGACGGGUGAGUAACGCGUGGGAACGUACCCCCGGUUCGGAAUAACUCAGGGAAACUUGAGCUAAUACCGGAUACGGCUUUACGGCGAAAGAUUUAUCGCCGAAAGAUUGGCCCGCGUCUGAUUAGCUAGUUGGUGAGGUAACGGCUCACCAAGGCGACGAUCAGUAGCUGGUCUGAGAGGAUGAUCAGCCACAUUGGGACUGAGACACGGCCCAA
rnacentral:rRNA from 1 species